rnacentral:rRNA from 1 species
UACGUAGGGUGCAAGCGUUGUCCGGAAUUAUUGGGCGUAAAGAGCUCGUAGGCGGUUUGUCGCGUCUGCUGUGAAAACUCAGGGCUUAACCCUGAGCCUGCAGUGGGUACGGGCAGACUAGAGUGUGGUAGGGGAGACUGGAAUUCCUGGUGUAGCGGUGGAAUGCGCAGAUAUCAGGAGGAACACCGAUGGCGAAGGCAGGUCUCUGGGCCAUUACUGACACUGAGAAGCGAAAGCAUGGGGAGCGAACAGG